rnacentral:sRNA from 1 species
UGUCGAAAUUGGCCGAAUCUGGUACGAAAACCAGUACGGGGGACUUUUUUCCAAUGGGGUGAAGCCGCGCUGUUUGCGGCAGGGUUACUCUCGACCCGAACCCGUCAACUAACCUCGGAGGCCGCCAGGGAGGAACU